rnacentral:ncRNA from 1 species
GCGCGGCCAAGCCCGGACCAGCGUCGGGACCUUCCUGUGGAAAGCUCAGCUGCGCGGCGUCUGAGGGCUUCGUGCCCAAAGUGCUAUGCUUCGGCCGGCAAAAAACAGUCAACUCAGAACUGGCACGGACCGGGGGAAUCCGACUGUCUAAUUAAAACAAAGCAUUGCGAUGGCCGCUGGUCGGUGUUGACGCAAUGUGAUUUCUGCCCAGUGCUCUGAAUGUCAACGUGAAGAGAUUCAUCAAAGCGCGGGUAAACGGCGGGAGUAACUAUGACUCUCUUGUGAGCGGGCUUAGCGCACGCGUUGGAUCACAGAGGGUAGCCC